UACGUAGGGUGCAAGCGUUAAUCGGAAUUACUGGGCGUAAAGCGUGCGCAGGCGGUUAUGUAAGACAGGUGUGAAAUCCCCAGGGCUUAACCUUGGAACUGCAUUUGUGACUGCAUAGCUAGAGUACGGUAGAGGGGGAUGGAAUUCCGCGUGUAGCAGUGAAAUGCGUAGAUAUGCGGAGGAACACCGAUGGCGAAGGCAAUCCCCUGGGCCUGCACUGACGCUCAUGCACGAAAGCGUGGGGAGCAAACAGG
rnacentral:rRNA from 1 species